AAACAACACUCCAUGGCAGAUGAUCAGAACUGUCUGACACAAUUUGCUCUAGCAAAAAAGUCUAGCCUCCUCUGGUGUUCUCUCUGUGAGACAAGCCAUUACGCAGACUUAAACAGU
ensembl:snoRNA